rnacentral:rRNA from 1 species
AUUGAACGCUGGCGGCAUGCCUUACACAUGCAAGUCGAACGGCAGCACGGGAGCAAUCCUGGUGGCGAGUGGCGAACGGGUGAGUAAUGUAUCGGAACGUACCUUUCAGUGGGGGAUAACGUAGCGAAAGUUACGCUAAUACCGCAUAUUCUGUGAGCAGGAAAGCAGGGGAUCGCAAGACCUUGCGCUGAUUGAGCGGCCGAUAUCAGAUUAGCUAGCUGGUGAGGUAAAGGCUCACCAAGGCGACGAUCUGUAGCGGGUCUGAGAGGAUGAUCCGCCACACUGGAACUGAGACGCGGUCCAGACUCCUACGGGAGGCAGCAGUGGGGAAUUUUGGACAAUGGGCGCAAGCCUGAUCCAGCCAUGCCGCGUGAGUGAAGAAGGCCU